UGCCACAAGAGCUUCCUCAAUGCCCCACAGGGAGGAGAGGCCUUCUGCAUUAGACCCCUUGCCCUUUCCAUGAAGGGAAGGUGAUCUUGCCUGAAACAAUCCUUUCUCUUCUUGUGCUAAUAACUCCUCCGCCCUAGACUUCUCCCAAUAAAAACUUUCCAUUUUAUGCAACUCUCAGGGGGCUCCCCUCUUCCUGCUGGGUGCCUUGCAGCUUAACUUUGUUAUUUAACAGGAUGCACAGCCACCCUUCCUCAGUGACUCAGUUUUAGCACGGGGCUCAGAUGGGACCGCCCCUGCUACUUCGCGACCCCUGCGUGCCCUCCUGGCUGGUGAUCUAUGGGCCCAACACUGAGCCCAGCUCCUGACUUUAUGCUCCAGACUCCUGGCUACUGAUACCAUGGUCCUUGCUUCACUGGAUGCUUCCUAACCAGCACCUGCAAUCACCUAUAGGCCAGACUGACUUGUCUUCAAAAGAAAGACCCUCCUCAAAGUCCAUGGAAAAGGGCUAUGCCAGAGAGUUCUGGUAUGGUCUCCUGAUGGCAUCAUUUAAACACUGCUGAGACCUUACCAGGGGACUCGGUCAGGAUUUCCAAAAUUCUAGUGAAGAAGCAUUUGGGCUCAUGAGACUCCUAACCCACCUUCGAGCAAAGUGAGAACUAGUUACAUAGGCCUAAAUAAACUACUGAGGAAGGACUAUGGUUUUUAUUUGGAAUAUUUUAAUGUUCUACUUUCUGAACAUAAGGAAGUCUUUGCUCUUCUUAUGCCAUCUGUAUCUUAAAACAAUUUGGUAGACAAAGCUUUUGUAAAAACAAAGGACAUAUUUAGAAACAGUAUCUGAGUCUCUCCCCCCACCACCCCCCUUGCCCAGAAUUUGGAAACUCAGUAUUAUGUAGUUCUUGCUUUCAGGGCAAUAUAAUUAUUUGCCUAGGUUCAACAAGAAUCUGUCUUCCUUGUUACCAGGACAUAACCAAAAAAACUGGUUAAGUAACCACGGCCUUGGCUGCAAGAUCGUAUUUGAUCAUAUAAUCAGCAACAACGAGACCCUUUCAAGAAAUGAAAGCAGACUUCAUGGCACCAAUGCCUGCCAAAGCCCUCUUGGGAAAACAAGCCAGGGACCUGGCUUCCAGGGUUCCCAACUCACAGAUGAGCAAGAAAGAUCACUUUGUAGGGGUCCCAGAGCUGGAGGAUAUGCUGGGGACCGCAGAAGGAAGGAAUUAAUGCAAAUAUGUAGAUAAUGAAGGUGAAAUCUGACAGCAAGCUCGUGUUCGGGCUUCCUAGUCUCAAGAGACUUUUAAAUGCACAAUCUAAGAUUCCUUAUGAAAACUUCCUGCGAACUAUUCUUGCUACACCUAUGUAAAUAAAUAUAAUGAGACCAGUCUUAU